AGAGUAUAGCCGUGUGCAUGUCGUACCUGAGUGCAGAGUAUAGCCGUGUGCAUGUCGUACCUGAGUGCAGAGUAUAGCCGUGUGCAUGUCGUACCUGAGUGCAGACUAUAGCCGUGUGCAUGUCGUACCUGCGUGCAAAGUAUAGCCGUGUGCAUGUCGUACCUGAGUGCAGAGUAUAGCCGUGUGCAUAUCGUACCUGCGUGCAAAGUAUAGCCGUGUGCAUGUCGUACCUGC